AUGGUGUUGGCUCUAUUGAGAAUGAGAAGGAGACUUAGAAGGCAUUUGGGAGUUCAAUUUGGAACGUGGUCAAAGUAUUUCACCUAUGAAACCUUGACUAUAAUGAGACUAUGCCCACCCUGUAUUUUUCACUUCGUUUUCAGACCAAGAUUGAUUUCAACCAGCUAUUUUUCAAAUUUUACCUUAAAACAGGCCUUUUUGGGAACACUGACAAUUGCAUUCCCUGUGGAAGUGAGAUUUAGCCUUGAGACUUGCUUUGGAAAUUCUGUAUUAGAUGACCCAACAUGAGAAAUAGCAUGAGAGCACUUGCAUGUUGCUGCUUGCUCUCUUGUGUCUUCUGUCAUCACCAUGAGAACAUACCCAGGCUAGUCUGCUGGAUGGUAAGUAACAUAAAUACCAGAGUCAAGUUAGCUUACUUUUUCCAGCCAAUGCCAGCUUCGAUCUACUGACAGGAAGACAGGGGAACAAUCCCAGCCAAGAAUAAGGCCUAGCUACCCACCCCAUAGGUAAACUAUUGUCUCUGCUACUACAGUCUCAUAGGGCUUGUUUUUGUUGUUGUUCUUGUCAUUGAUAUAUCAUUCCAUGUCAUUAGAUAAUACAUAUCAAAGUAACCCCACACAAAAAUUACAUUGUUUAUUUUAUUUGCAUGCUUUCCUUUGAGGGGGGAGACUCACUAACCUUAUACUAUUAGAUCAUGAGCACAGCAUUUUUUGUAAAGAACUUGGCAUUAAUUAAUUCAGUCUCAAUUUAUAUCUGAAAAGACCACACUAGCAGUGAGAGAAAAGAUAGUGUCCUUACGGUGUCCUCAUGGUGAACCAAAAUUUGACCUCUUCAACUAUUCUGUUGAUAUCCCAGAUGAAUUCUCUGAAAUAUUUCCCCUAUGGGUUUCUCUUUAGUUUGUUCUCUAAAGGCUUUUAGGAAUUCAUUAGCAACAAAUAGAGAAAAAUCUGUUUUCACUCGCAAUGCCUGAUUUUAUCCUUGUAAUUCUUGAGCCCUUAAUCUUGGAAUUCAUUGAAAAACUAAAGACAAGUAAAAGUUUUUUUCCCUUCCUUUUCUAAGGUUGUGAAAUAUAAAAAAGGUAUCUUGGAGCAAUACACUAGGUCAAUGUAAUUUCUUCCUAAACUUACACAUAUCUUUCUAACUUUAUUCAUUAAUACCAUUUAUAAGUGUUGAAAUUUUGAAAAUAUGUAUUCAUUUUUUCUCAAAAGGUAAGUUUAAAUACAGUGGUUUAGUAGUAUUCUGCUAAAUUCUGAAC
rnacentral:lncRNA from 1 species